rnacentral:rRNA from 1 species
AUUGAACGCUGGCGGCAUGCCUUACACAUGCAAGUCGAACGGCAGCGCGGGAGCAAUCCUGGCGGCGAGUGGCGAACGGGUGAGUAAUGCAUCGGAACGUGCCCGGUAGUGGGGGAUAACUGCUCGAAAGAGCAGCUAAUACCGCAUACGACCUGAGGGUGAAAGGGGGGGAUCGCAAGACCUCUCGUUAUCGGAGCGGCCGAUGUCGGAUUAGCGAGUUGGUGGGGUAAAGGCCCACCAAGGCGACGAUCCGUAACUGGUCUGAAGGGACGACCCGCCAAGCUGGGACUGCGAGACGGCCCAGACUCCUACGGGAGGCAGCAGUGGGGAAUUUUGGACAAUGAAUGCAAGUCUGAUCCAGCCCUGCCGCGUGCGGGAAGAAGGCCUUCGGGUUGUAAACCGCUUUUGUCAGGGAAGAAAUCUUCUGGGUUAAUACCUCGGGAGGAUGACGGUACCUGAAGAAUAAGCACCGGCUAACUACGUGCCAGCCGCCGCGGUAAAAC